ACUCUUUUAGCUCAGUUGAUUAAAGUGCAGUGGCUGGUAACACCAAGGUUGUAGGUUCGAUCCCCGUACGGGACA